rnacentral:rRNA from 1 species
AAGGACCCCAGUUGCUAGCCACGGCGUAAAGGGUGGUUAAGGGUAAAAAUAAAUAAAGCUAAAGACCCCCUAAGCCGUCAUACGCACUCCGGGGGCACGAGGCCCCUACACGAAAGUAGCUUUAAAACACUCCUGACCCCACGAAAGCUAAGAAACAAACUGGGAUUAGAUACCCCACUAUGCUUAGCCUUAAACCCAGAUGUACUAUUACAUACACAUCCGCCCGGGUACUACGAGCACA